AGAUGAACUACCACAAGACAGUGUGCUUAUGGGGGACCAAACACGUUAAAAUACAGUUGAUGGAUCUGGAGCUCUGACUGCUGCCCAGCAAUGGCUCAGCAUGGACUGCUCUCAUCCUGGCUGCUCUUCAACAGUACUUUGAGCUGCAUGAAGACCUAAGAACCAAGCCAACAGCAAGAGCAUCACCAAGAAUCUGAGAAUCAAGCCCGCACCAAGAGCGUGGCCAAGUGUUUACUCCUCUUCCAGACCAUACCUGAAACAUGGCGUGAAGUUUCAUUCUGUUCUACUGCAGGUUCCUGUGUCUAUUUCAGAUCAUAAACUCAGGCUUGCAGAAAUCUUUGUAUACAGGAGAGGCUCAGCCUGGCUUACUACCACACCACUGCCCUUGUUAAUGCACAUACUUCCAGCUCUGAUGCACUGGGACCACCAUUGCCGGCCAAUUUCCAGCAAGAUCUUGUUGCCCAGAUCCUGCCAACAACCAGGGAACAAGCUCAAGCCAGCAGAGAAAACGAACGACCAGAAGUACCAGGAUUGUGCCAUCCUAUCCUCUGCUGUCAGGCUGGGGUCCCAACUGCCAUUUGGAGAAGCAACUUCCAUGGAAAUGUGAACAGAAUAUGA
rnacentral:lncRNA from 1 species